rnacentral:rRNA from 1 species
UACGAAGGGGGCUAGCGUUGCUCGGAAUCACUGGGCGUAAAGGGUGCGUAGGCGGGUUUUUAAGUCAGGGGUGAAAUCCUGGAGCUCAACUCCAGAACUGCCUUCGAUACUGGCGAUCUCGAGUUCGGGAGAGGUGAGUGGAACUGCGAGUGUAGAGGUGAAAUUCGUAGAUAUUCGCAAGAACACCAGUGGCGAAGGCGGCUCACUGGCCCGAUACUGACGCUGAGGUGCGAAAGCGUGGGGAGCAAACAGG